AUAUGACAAUGUGUGAAGGUAAUAUCUAGUCCUCUUGAUAAUUUAUUCUCAUGGUCUUUAUCAAGGAAGUUAUUCACAUGGACUUAGAAAAAAAAACAAGAGUAAUAAAAAAAAAUUGAACCUACUGGCUCAGGCAGUUAAUGAAAGGAUCCUUGCUAGCAUGGGGUCAUAAGUGAAGAAGAAUUUACUGUCACUGCUUUGUUUAGUAAUUAGCUUGUGUGUUGUUUUAAGACGCUGCUGACAUUUGAAAUAGCGCAAAUUCCUUGGAGCGUGUAGUGAAAUGUUUGUCCAGACAUCUCGCGCGUACAUUCCAUUUGUAAAUUAAAACUCUAGAGAAGUAGGUAUAUCUAUAGAAAAAUAGGUAUCUGGUUACAUCACUGUGUAUAGUGUACCAAGUAAUUUAAAAACAACUAGUUGGUAAUAAGUCCUGUGACUGUGACUUUUGACCAGCCCGCUCGAGGGUAAUAGACGAACGUGGGAAAAAGUCAGUUUUUCUUAUGCCUACUUGCAUACUGGCUAUUCCUAACACUUUCCUUUAUUUCGUUUGAUAAUGAAAACUAAAGAACAGACUUAGAAAUAUCUGGUUUUCGUCAACUUUCCUUCCGCCCGCACUGGCAUGUUGACCUUAUUAGCACCGCCCCGCUAACGUUUGCAACUUUCAUUUUCAAAUGGUCGAAAUAGUCUCUAUGAGUUUUAAUUAACCGGCUGACUGACUUGAUUAGUUACGACACUAGCAAAUAAAUUAUUAUUAUACCUGUAUAUUAAUAAUCAAUCAAACUCGAUCAAUUAAUCAAUCUCUUGCUGUAUUCAAAAAACUACUUAAAGAACAUUAAUAUAUCUCCAUUAGUGUUUGAAAUAGUUAACUUAAAAUUUACUCUGUGGUGGAUAUGUUGCUGUCAUAUGUUGUAUAUUUUGGUUUGUGGCUUAUACAUUCAUUAUGUAUAUAUAUUUGUAUUAUCUUAUAUGUGUAUGUUUAUUUACCUAAAUUGUGUGUAUGACAGUUAGGCUUGAUUUUUUUUUUGCAACACCAACUCUUUAUGAUUAAUUGUUUUGUUUCUGCUACCCAAAAGUUGUCUGGAAGAGAUCACUCUUUAGGGAUAAGACCGCCUGUUAUCUGCCUCUAUCAUUAAUCAACUAUUUUUCUUUAAGCUGUAUCUUUUACUAAGGAUCAAAAUAGACGUGCGCGCCGCUGCCAUAAGGAACCAGCAGUAACGCCCACAACAUUACACAGAUCUUCAGGGUAGAUCUCAGAUCAUAGAAGGUAUUCUUAUUAUUCUUAUAUCUAUAGGGUAGAUAGAUCAACAUUACGUGGAUUUUUAUAUUGGUUGUUGUAAUUCUACAUUAACUACGUGUAGCUAAAAAAAAAGCAGUUGAAAACACGUGACUUUUGUGUCACAAUCACGUCUUCCAAAGUUUCAACUCCCUCAAUCAAAAAUAAGUUUUAUCGGUGACUACUUUUUUUUCCACAGCCAACUAAUACUCAUCUGGAUAAUUCUGAAAACCCCAAACACAAUUAGGUAGCAUUCUUCAUCACGGAAUUCCUAUGGCAUUCCUAUCCAUCUUCAGAGGGGCGUGUUCAGAUAUUUGUGAGCAUCUUAGCCGCUGUGAUAUAUUUGAUGGCGACUGUAUAUUGUAAGUUAAAUAAAAGCUUGUAAAUACAAUACAAUACUCAUUUCAUCUGUAUAAAUUAAUAAUGUAUAUUAAAAAAACUAUUAUGUAACUUUAUUUUCCUGUGUACUUGUAUGUGGCAAUAAACGAUUUUUAAUCUUAUUCUUAAAAAUAUUUGCCCCCGAUACAAACUGUCAAUCUCGUCUCAACGCCCUUACGGGAAUUUUUGCGAAGGCUUACUCAAUAGUUAUUUGUUUUACAAGGGGGCAAAGUUGUUUUUUAACCGCUCGUGCUAAUAUUGAUACCCGAGCAAGUGAAAGAUUCCAAAAUUGAAUCACGAGCGUAGCGAGUGGUUCGAGAAAUGGAAUCUUGAGCGUUGCGAGGGUAUUAAGGCACGACGGUUAAACUAACUUUGCGUCCAAGUGAAACACAAUUUUUUUUACCAAACAAAUCAAACCAAAUGAACGUAAUAUAAAAUGUAACAUUAAAAAUCAUUAUUUAAAAGUAAAUUCCACCAGCUACAGGGGCGGAUUAAGAAGGCGCGGGGACCUUAGUACAAUAACUCGCGGGGCCCCAAGGUUUGAAGAAAAAAGAUUUAGUGCGAGUCGGACUCGCACCCCGAGGAUUCAGUACCAUCACAACAUUUUUA